ensembl:lncRNA
AUUUGGGUGGUCUUAACCAAUCAUAGCACAGUAUGAUAUGGCGGUAAAAUGCAUCCAAUUACAAUUCAGUAUGUUUACACAUAUGACUAUUACAGUGAUGAUAAGGAAGAAUGAGCACACUGGACUCAUUGACCAAACACUUGCAUGCAUGUUUAUGAGCAAUAUAUUUCCCACAAAUCCCUACGGCAAACAGUGAAUCGUGAUGACGCAAAACACAACACGAGGAGAAACCGGCUGAACUCGCGAACGAAUAAAAAAAUCAAUCCUAGACAUGCAAACAAUUAUACAAUGCAAGUUUUACUUCCGAAUUGCCUAUUUGUUUCAGUUACAUUACUCAUGAAGAUGAUUGAAUAGUUAGAAGCCGUACUAGCAGAAUUUCGGUAUCUGCCCUGUGCACUCGUCUGUUCUCGGUUUUGGAAUGGGAUUGCAGACUGACGUUUUGAACAGCAGAGUGACUCAAAACGAACAAAUCCAGGACUUGUGUGAUGGCCUUUUCCUGCUCCAGGACUCUCUCCAUCAUCGGCAGGAAAAUGUGCUGACCACUUUCUUGUACACUCCUGUGGAAACCGGAGGUUCAUUUUGGACA